rnacentral:rRNA from 1 species
CAUAAUAACUUAACGAAUCGAUGGCCUUGCGCGGCGAUGGUUCAUUCAAAUUUCUGCCCUAUCAACUUUCGAUGGUAGGAUAGUGGCCUACCAUGGGUUUCAACGGGUAACGGGGUAUUAGGGUACGACUCCGGAGAGGGAGCCUGAGAAACGGCUACCACAUCCAAGGAAGGCAGCAGGCGCGCAAAUUACCCAAUCCCGACACGGGGAGGUAGUGACAAUAAAUACUGAUACAGGGCUCUUCUGGGUCUUGUAAUUGGAAUGAGUACAAUUUAAAUCCCUUAACGAGGAACAAUUGGAGGGCAAGUCUGGUGCCAGCAGCCGCGGUAAUUCCAGCUCCAAUAGCGUAUAUUAAAGUUGUUGCAGUUAAAAAGCUCGUAGUUGAACCUUGGGCCUGGCUGGCCGGUCCGCCUCACCGCGUGCACUGGUCCGGCCGGGCCUUUCCUUCUGACUAACCUCAUGCCCUUCACUGGGUGUGUUGGGGAAUCAGGACUUUUACUUUGAACAAAUUAGAGUGUUCAAAGCAGGCUAUGCUCGAAUACAUUAGCAUGGAAUACUGAAAUAGGAACGUGUGGUUCUAUUUUGUGGGUUUCUAGGACCGCCGUAAUGAUUAAUAGGGAUAGUCGGGGGGCGUCAGUAUUCCGUUGUCAGAGGUGAAUUCUUGGUUUUACGGGAAGACUAACUAUGGGAAAGCUUUCGCCAAGGGUUGGUUUUCAUUAAUCAGUGACGGAAGUUAGGGGCUCGA